rnacentral:rRNA from 1 species
GACGAACGCUGGCGGCGUGCUUAACACAUGCAAGUCGAACGGUGAACCUGCAUCGGUGGGGGAUCACUGGCGGACGGGUGCGUAACACGUGGGCAACCUGCCCUCACCUCUUGGAUAACUGCAAGAACUUGGGGAUACUACUGGAUAUAACCGAUGACCGCAUGGUCUGGUGGCGGGAGGAUUUAUCGGCUGGGGCUGGGCCCGCGGCCGAUCUCGGUGUUGGUGGGGUAGUGGCCUACGAAGGCGCAGGCGGGUAGCCGGCCUGGGAGGGUGACCGGCGACCAUGGGACUGAGAGACGGACCAGACGCGUACGGGAGGCAGCAGUGGGGAAUAUUGCGCAAUGGGCGAAAGCCUGACGCAGCGACGCCGCGUGGGGGAAGCCGGCUUUCGGGGUGUAAACCUCUUCCAGCAGGGACGAAGCGAAAGUGACGGUACCUGAAGAAGAAGCACCGGCUAACUACGUG